CUGGAGACUUCUAUAUAGGUGGAGAGGAUGGGGAGGUCCAAUCCCUAUGACCACUUCCUGAUUCUACUAUGCAGAGAACCACACCUCAAACACAGGGAAAGGAGAGAAGGUUGUAGCACAGUGUAACUGAUACCACAGCUGCAACUACAGGUGGAGUAAGUGUUGGAUCAUCCACUAUGUAAUGCCUGCUGGUCUGUCCAAUUAACUGUGUGCACAGUGGGGCACUCAGACUCCUAGUACUGUAUGAUCUGGAGCGCUAGGAUUUAGAAGCACCAAGUCAUAUUGUACACAGGCUUCAAAUGUGAUGUGGGAAACAGGCCCUUAAGUCCUUCAUUAAGAGCUCAAGAAAGGUGGUGAAUCAACAGCCUUGGAGAAUCUAGUGCUGCAGAGACAUCCCCGCGUGACAGCCCAUCAUCUAGUGUUUGUGAGAGGUGCUGGAUUGAUUGCUUCUGGAAACAGAGAAGGCCUUUAUCCGUAGAACAGGUAUA